GUGAAUCAUCAAAUCUUUGAACGCAAAUUGCACUCUCUGGGAUUCCGGAAAGUAUGCCUGUUUGAGGGUCAGUUAAAUAAAAAUCGGUUUUGUUUCUGCUUUUCUUGGUGACGCGGCGGAAUUGAGUUGUCUUACCUUCGGUUAAGUGACUUAAAAUUUUGCAUGUUUUUCGAACGUAUUUAAAUUUCUUACGUACGUUUGAGAUAUCGAAUACUUUAUUAGUCUCGGUCAUCCUCAUGAUGCGCCCCUAUAAUUUUUC
rnacentral:misc_RNA from 1 species